UGCCAUCUUAUUCAUUACUUAACAGGCUCUUGUCAUCUAGUUUGUUGCCCCGAGGAAUGAGGACCUCCUCCUCUUUGUGUCCGGCAGCCCUACAUCUCAUGUUGGCUCUGGCUCCAGCUUAGGCCUUCAGACAAUGGUUAUGACUGGAUGGCAUAUAACGAACAUCCACUUGGAAUGAAAGGAACUUAUAGUGUUCCCUGACUUCUCUGGAGCAUGCAGGAAAAUCUGGUGAAUGUUACAAUUGUUUUCAGACAGGAAGUGACUGCAUCAUUAACACUAUCCAGAAGUGAGCAGCGAUAAACCUUGGAACAGCUACAGACAGAAAAGCUGGGCAGAAUGACACAAGAUGUGAUGCUGAAUAUCAACCUGGCAUUAGUGGCAAAUUCCAGCGCCACCCAGAAUAUGUGAAAAUAUCUGAAGAAGAUACAGUAUGUUUUCUACUGCAUUGGAGCUUGUAUAGUUUCUUGUUUUCCAGAUGCAUACA
rnacentral:lncRNA from 1 species